GACCACCCAUCGACGAACUCACUCGCACGGCAGGAGCGGGGGAACCAGGUAAGCCGCCGGACCCGGCACCGCACCGGGACGGCCAGGGGUGAAGCCGCGUCGCCGCAGGGCGGCACGGCCGGGCAGCUCCAGCCCGAACCCGACAGCUCACCUCGCAGGCGCCGGAGAGGAAUC
rnacentral:sRNA from 2 species